AUUGAACGCUGGCGGCAGGCCUAACACAUGCAAGUCGAGCGGAGCGGCGGACGGGUGAUUAAUGCCUAGGGAUCUGCCUGGUAGUGGGGGAUAACGUUCGGAAACGGGCGCUAAUACCGCAUACUAUUAGUUGAGCCUCGGUCGGUUUAGCUAGGUGGUGGGGUAAAGUCCUACGAAGGCGACGAGCCGUAACUGGACUGAGAGGAUGAGUAGUCACACGGGAACUGAGACACGGUCCAGACUCCUACGGGAGGAAGCAGUGGGGAAUAUUGCACGAUGGGCGAAUGCCUGAUCCAGCAAUGCCGCGUGUGUGAAGAAGGUCUUCGGAUUGUAAAGCGCUUUAAGUUGUGAGGCGUUACCAAAAGAAUAAGCACCGGCUAACUUCGUGCCAGCAGCCGCGGUAAUUC
rnacentral:rRNA from 1 species